AGCUGAGUGGGGAGGAGAGAGGGACAGAGAGCCUGCUUGCUUUAAAGGAACCAACCGGACAGGAGCCGCUUACACUCGUGUAAGCGGCUCCUCUCCUCUCCCGCUUUGCUCCUUUAAAGAAGCAGGCUCUCUGUCCCUCUCUCCUCCCCACUCAGC